UUCUCCCUUGAGUCUUGACUUAAAGACUCUCCUACUAGUUGUUAAUGUCCCAAAGGACAGUUGUUUCCAAUUAAAAAACCAGAUUCUCUAGGCUGGGUGCAGUGGCUCACCGCCUGUAAUCCCAGAUGAGGCGGGCGGAUCACGAGGUCGGGAGAUCGAGACCAUCCUGGCUAACACGGUGAUACCCUGUCUCUACUAAAAAUACAAAAAAUUAGCCAGGCAUGGUGGCAAGCACCUGUAGUCCCAGCUACUCAGAGGGCUAAGGCAGGAGAAUCGCUUGAACCUGGGAGGCAGAGGUUGCAGUGAACCGAGAUCGCGCCAGUGCACUCCAGCCUGGGCAACAGAGUAAGACUCCGUCUCAAAAAUAAAUAAAUAAAUAAAAAUAAAAACAAAAAACGAAAUUCUCAAAAUAGCACAGAGCUGAAUUUGUGAAUGUACUUAACAAAUACUGCUAAAUUUAUUUGAAUACAAGAUGAUCAGCCUCGGAGGAGAGGACGAAGAGAGGCCGAGACCUGGCCCCAGGUGAAACGUCCGAGACCUCGCCAUUGCUUAGGAGGAGCGGAUGUCUUCCUUCUUCCCAUUGGUCCCUCCCUCUGCCGCUUCUCUUCCCACCCUGGCUCUACCAGAAGUUCUGAAUGUCUUCUGGGAAAACAGUUCUUGAUCUUACUGCUGAUGAAAGUGGAUAAUGUGUGAAAAAUUGACCUUUCAGAUGACUGGCUAACUGCUUUCAGUGUUAAAGAGAUUUUCCAGAUGGGAAAGAAGGGGAGAUGAACAGCUAAGAGGUUGUUUCCUGGAAGUGGCCUUGACAGCAUUUGGAGGCCACUGGGACUUUCAUUCCUUCUUUGCCCUUUAUCUCCGCAAACCACUAAGACAGCAGCACUGUGGGGAAGGAAAUGGAGAUUGCUUGCCCAAGAGGAAGUGAAGAAAGGAGACAUUCUCCAGGACUCAGCUGUGCUCACUACAGUCUCAAAGGCAGCAGAGUCCAGAAAGGGCCAGCACUGUUCUCCAGCGUCCUGGGGCUGUGGCUUGGCAGGACCAGGCAUUCCGUGGCUCUGUCGUGGUGGAGGUGCUGGUGUGGACCUCACUCAGUGGAGAGAGAGGCCUGGAAGAUCUUGGAACAGGAACAUCCAGCUCUGCUUCUCUCUUAAUCUCAGCCCGCACUCAGAGUGUUUAGUAGGUCAAGAUGGCAGCCAUUUCUAGGGGAUACAGGGACAAGUCAGUCAACACCAGAAAGAAGCAAUCAGACAAAUCAAGAAUAUACAACACUUAUAAAACUAUCAGCUUGGGUUCAUCAAAAAGUCAGUGUCAUGAAAGAAAGAAGUUGGAGGACUGUACCGGAUUAAAAGAGAGUGAACAGACACUACAACCAAAUACAAUGUGUGAAUUUUGAUUGGAUCUUGGUAAUUGUAAAAAAAACCC
ensembl:lincRNA